UACGUAGGGGGCAAGCGUUGUCCGGAUUUAUUGGGCGUAAAGAGCUCGUAGGCGGUUUGUCGCGUCUGCUGUGAAAACCUAAGGCUCAACCUUGGGCUUGCAGUGGGUACGGGCAGACUAGAGUGCGGUAGGGGUGACUGGAAUUCCUGGUGUAGCGGUGGAAUGCGCAGAUAUCAGGAGGAACACCGAUGGCGAAGGCAGGUCACUGGGCCGCAACUGACGCUGAGGAGCGAAAGCAUGGGGAGCGAACAGGA
rnacentral:rRNA from 1 species